AGGCCUAACACAUGCAAGUCGAGCGGUCAGCACGGGUACUUGUACCUGGUGGCGAGCGGCGGACGGGUGAGUAAUGCCUAGGAAUCUGCCUAGUAGUGGGGGAUAACGUCCGGAAACGGGCGCUAAUACCGCAUACGUCCUACGGGAGAAAGUGGGGGAUCUUCGGACCUCACGCUAUUAGAUGAGCCUAGGUCGGAUUAGCUAGUUGGUGAGGUAAUGGCUCACCAAGGCGACGAUCCGUAACUGGUCUGAGAGGAUGAUCAGUCACACUGGAACUGAGACACGGUCCAGACUCCUACGGGAGGCAGCAGUGGGGAAUAUUGGACAAUGGGCGAAAGCCUGAUCCAGCCAUGCCGCGUGUGUGAAGAAGGUCCUUCGGAUUGUAAAGCACUUUAAGUUGGGAGGAAGGGCAGUUACCUAAUACGUGAUUGUUUUGACGUUACCGACAGAAUAAGCACCGGCUAACUCUGUGCCAGCAGCCGCGGUAAUACAGAGGGUGCAAGCGUUAAUCGGAAUUACUGGGCGUAAAGCGCGCGUAGGUGGUUUGUUAAGUUGGAUGUGAAAGCCCCGGGCUCAACCUGGGAACUGCAUCCAAAACUGGCAAGCUAAAGUAUGGUAGAGGGUGGUGGAAUUUCC
rnacentral:rRNA from 1 species